UUGCUUCUCUUGAGAGCGGCGGACGGGUGAGUAAUGCCUAGGAAUCUGCCUAGUGGUGGGGGAUAACGUUCGGAAACGGACGCUAAUACCGCAUACGUCCUACGGGAGAAAGCGGGGGAUCUUCGGACCUCGCGCCAUUAGAUGAGCCUAGGUCGGAUUAGCUAGUUGGUGAGGUAAUGGCUCACCAAGGCGACGAUCCGUAACUGGUCUGAGAGGAUGAUCAGUCACACUGGAACUGAGACACGGUCCAGACUCCUACGGGAGGCAGCAGUGGGGAAUAUUGGACAAUGGGCGAAAGCCUGAUCCAGCCAUGCCGCGUGUGUGAAGAAGGUCUUCGGAUUGUAAAGCACUUUAAGUUGGGAGGAAGGGUAGUAACUUAAUACGUUGCUACUUUGACGUUACCGACAGAAUAAGCACCGGCUAACUUCGUGCCAGCAGCCGCGGUAAUACGAAGGGUGCAAGCGUUAAUCGGAAUUACUGGGCGUAAAGCGCGCGUAGGUGGUUCAGUAAGUUGGAAGUGAAAUCCCCGGGCUCAACCUGGGAACUGCUUUCAAAACUGCUGAGCUAGAGUACGGUAGAGGGUGGUGGAAUUUCCUGUGUAGCGGUGAAAUGCGUAGAUAUAGGAAGGAACACCAGUGGCGAAGGCGACCACCUGGACUGAUACUGACACUGAGGUGCGAAAGCGUGGGGAGCAAACAGGAUUAGAUACCCUGGUAGUCCACGCCGUAAACGAUGUCAACUAGCCGUUGGAAUCCUUGAGAUUUUAGUGGCGCAGCUAACGCAUUAAGUUGACCGCCUG
rnacentral:rRNA from 1 species